GGAAGACUUUAGGAGGAAAGGAUCUUGGUCCCCCCACCUCAGUGCUUUGAGUCUCAAGGUAUAGGUUAUGUAUACGUGUUACCUUACUCUGUUGUAUAAUAUACUAAAGGGACCAGAGAGUGUGGCUUCAGUUAAGUCUACAAAUACUUGUAUUAAUUUGGUGGCCGCCUGAAGUGUAAAUAUGUGAGGCAAUUUAACAAUACCAAUUCACAUUCCCACCACCCCAGUACCUAACAGAGCAAGUGAGACGCCCCUACUCCAAGGUAAGUUCAACAAUGAUAGUACUCUUGAGAUUUACUUUAACAUUCAAUCAGAUUUAAUUAUCUCCUUUUAAAAUGUUUUUUUUCUUUUGCAGAGCAGGAAAAGAAGAUCAGAACAAUACAUGAAAAAUGUAAAAAAACAAAUAAAACAAUGUUGCUCAAAUAAAUUUGUCACUAUAAUCUUUACCCGUGGUGCACCACCAACUGUUUAACCAUAAAACUUGUGUUCACCUCUGGAAUAACAAUCAGUUCACAAAUGAUUCACUUCAAAUAAACUCUGAAAUAACUUGACUUAAUUCAAAUGAACUCUGAAAUGACUCUUGCGAUUCGACAGAUGAUUCAAUUUUCACAUCAAACCCAGUUCAGUUACCUAGUUCAAGUUCAGUCUAUAUCAGUAAGAGUUCAUGUAUGUGUGCAAUGAACGUUGUACCAGUCUUUAGCGAUGAUGAAAUUGAAGAAAUUACUUGCAAUGACUUGAGAUGACCUGUAAUAGAGAAAUGAACAGC
ensembl:lncRNA